UGUCUUCUUUCUUUCCAGGAUUAAAAGGCAAAACAUGACUACAGACAUCACACCCACCCUACUGGAGUACCCUAUGUUUUGUACUUUGCAGCUCAAUGCACAGCUUGCAAUCAUUAGAAAACUAUGGGGCAUCUUCUGGGUGAUUAUUAGAGGGAACUACAUUCUGGCAGCCUGUGAAAGCCAGGAUGUGGCAGAUCUGUCCAGUUCUGUUGGAAAUGAACAUUUGGACAUGGAGGCUCUGCAUGGAAGGUGGAUGCAGAUAGAUGCCUCGCGGAGAAAAGUACCUCUGGGAUUUGCCGAAACAUUCACAAGAUGCUAAUUUGUCAUAAUCCCAUCUCCCACAAAGCAAAGAAAUGAGGGAAGAUGUAGCAGCAGACUGACAACUGCUCAUCUUGAUGACUACUAGCACCCUGGAACUGAACCUACAAGACCUCAGUUGUCCUAUUUGUUGUCUGCAAAU
rnacentral:lncRNA from 1 species